CCAGCUGCCGGGGAGGGCUGAAACCCUAGCCUCUCCCCCAGCUGGGGCUCUGCAACCAGGCCAGGAGCCGUGGUGCACCAACUGGCUACGAGUGGGCAGCAGGAAAGCGGCAUGGAGAGGGGCACAGUGAAGAGCGGCAAGGAGAGGAGCCGCCUGAAGCAGAGUGAGGCUGGGAGAGGCUGAAAAUAAGGAGCAGUGGCCUGUGCCUUUCCAAACCCAAUGGUUCUGUUGAGGCCCCAGAGGACCGACAGUAGACUGCCUCUGACAUUCGGCAAGAUCAACAGCUCUGCAAACUGGGCUAGAAGACAGCAGAUGCUCCUAUCCCGAAACUAUGGCCUCAGUGAGUGCUAGACAAAUGUCAACAGAGAACAACAAAAAAAUUAUGAAAUAACUUUUUUUUAA